GUGGAAAGUUUUUUCGGUGUGGGAUGAGCUCGCGGCCUAUCAGCUUGUUGGUGGGGUAAUGGCCUACCAAGGCGUCGACGGGUAGCCGGCCUGAGAGGGUGUACGGCCACAUUGGGACUGAGAUACGGCCCAGACUCCUACGGGAGGCAGCAGUGGGGAAUAUUGCACAAUGGGCGCAAGCCUGAUGCAGCGACGCCGCGUGGGGGAUGACGGCCUUCGGGUUGUAAACUCCUUUCGCUAGGGACGAAGCGCAAGUGACGGUACCUAGAGAAGAAGCACCGGCUAACUACGUGCCAGCAGCCGCGGUAAUACGUAGGGUGCGAGCGUUGUCCGGAAUUACUGGGCGUAAAGAGCUCGUAGGUGGUUUGUCGCGUCGU
rnacentral:rRNA from 1 species